rnacentral:rRNA from 1 species
CAUGUAGGCGGCUUUGUAAGCCCGGCGUGGAAGCCCACGGCUCAACCGUGGGAUUGCGUUGGGAACUGCGAGGCUCGAAUCAUGGAGAGGGAGCUAGAAUUCCUGGUGUAGGGGUGAAAUCUGUAGAGAUCAGGAAGAAUACCAGUGGCGAAGGCGAGCUCCUGGCCAAUGAUUGACGCUGAGGUGCGAAAGUGUGGGGAUCAAACAGGAUUAGAUACCCUGGUAGUCCACACUGUAAACGAUGUGCACUAGGUGCUGGGGCGAUGCUUCGAGUGCCGGAGCUAACGCGGUAAGUGCACCGCCGUGGGGAGUAUGCUCGCAAGGGUGAA